CUAAGGGUGUAUUCAACUUCUCGUUCUCAAAUCUGUAUGUGAUGAAAUUCCACGUCCAUGAAACUACAGGACUUUUAUGGGUUUUUUAUUCUAAAUUCACCAGAAUUCGAAAAGUUGGUAUCCACCAAGUUCACCAUUAUGACUUUUUUCUACCAGUUUUCAUUGCAAGAUCUGUUUUAGGAAAAACUAGCAACUCUACUAUGUGAUUAAUACCCCAUACGAUUUCUAUUAGACCCAAUCCACAAUAAUCAAAAAGGUUAUUUAUUCAUGGCUUAUGGCCAAUCUCAUUACCAAUCUGGCUUCACGGCCUAUUAGUGUAUUACAUCUGACACCUUUGUUUGGUUAUCUAAGGCAACAACAGACUCAGUCAACCUUGAAGGAAAGUUUGCGUGUGUUACAUAAAACCACUACCUGUCACAUUUUAUACCUUCCAAUGCUUGGUUCAAGCAUGCAGUGCAAGCAGAAUAUUCUUUCUGGCAGGGUGUGCACACUUUGACUCAUUUCAACAUUAUGAAAUAGCCAAAUUACAUGUGUUCAGCAUCAAUGUUCCAAAAGGUGGGUGUCACCUACUAAAUCUUGACAUUAUAUCGUUUUACAGGCAAAAGGGAUUUUGGAAGAGAGCCCAACUUUCCUUUGAUUAUUUUUUUGUGGAAAAUAUGUAUUUUUAGGAGUCAUUGCAUGAGAGAAUCAGGCAAAAUCUGGUACUUUCAUUGGAUCUGGCUGAAAGUUGCUUUUUUCAUGACUUCUUGUAGAAUUGAUGAUAUUAUGUAUCUGUUUCAAUUUCUCAUUCCAGAUGCUAAAAACCCUCUCCGCGAUUGCAACUGAAGAAUCUUGUAUGAUUUGCAAGGAUGACACAACCUUGUCCGCAAUUGCAUUCGAAGAUUCUUCUUUGAUUUCCAAGAAGAAGGCUUUCAGUUGUCCAGGCCAGGCCAGGUGACCAAUGACGAUGAUAGAUUGGGUUCGAUUCAAGCUAUACGCUUGGUGUAUUUGGUUAUCGUGACUGGCGACUUGAGUCUAUCUCAUCUCAUUUCCAAAGCGCGGUGGCUGGGUCCCAGGCAUGCUUGCCACUUUGUUCUGCGGUCCUCAUCUAAGUUUCGACGGUGAUGACAUGGACUUAGGUUCAAAGUACGUGUUCCCUUUGAGUCAUUGUGGUUGAUUGAUGGGGGGAAUAAACAGUUGCGUGUCGCUAGUCAUUCAAUUGGUCCCCUUGUUUUAGAGUGUUGGCGGGAUAAGUCUUACGACUGUUAACAAUAGUAAGCAAUAGCUGGCCAGCGAUCCCCUACCUGAUCUCGAGGGGGAUGGAAUGACUGGGGUUAAGACCUGUUGUUAACCUGCGGAAUUUCGUCGGAUGAAAUGUCAGGCGUGUCCGUGUGGGACUUGUGCUGAACCUGUUUAGUACAAAUAACGAAGACAUUGGGCUCUUUGGAUAACAACAGUGUUCUUCACCUCCUUGUGCCUCACAAAGCUAAUAAUAUACACCCCCUGAAAUCGACAAGACGGCGAUGAAGAAGGAGAGCCGGCAUCCAACUCGUCAGCCGAGAAGACACUGGAUGGACCCCAAGAAGAUGUUGCUGCCAAUGUUGGAGCCAUACAGGGCAGCCCGAGCCAACAUUGUACAAGGGCAACAAGGACAAGGGACAAGGGACACAGGGACAAGGGACACAAAAGACGAUGUUGCAGUCUACAUGCCCUCUGCAGAUUGAGAUGAUGGCUGUCGAGAAGAUCCAACCACUCAACCACAGUCUACAAUUCGUGCUAUGGUAGAUGUGACUCUCAACGAUUUUGGAUGACAAAGGAAUCCAAUGCAUAUAUGUCGCUCACAGAUACGGGCAGACGACUGAGAUUCGAGUGGAUUCAGUGGAUCGAAUGGUUGCGCUGAGGGAUAUCCAUGUGCAGGAUUGAUGAACCACAGUUCAGCAAACGAUGCCUUGACAGACCAAUUCAAGGAGAACCUUCGCUAAGAUGAAGAAGGGAACGUGUUUACUGUGUGGAUGGGAAGGACACUUAAAUGUCCGUCAUUCUAAUAGACUAUUAUGACAAUAUUCUAAUUGACUAGAAUGACAAUCUUAACUCGAAAGGGACUCUCUGGACUUACAGAAAGCUACGGACAUAGAGCCCUGACAUGAUACCCUGCAGCCACCAUGAGGACAGCCUAUCUCAUACCUACAGAAGGAUGCCAUCACACGCAUGAUGAGCCGUCCCACAGAAGGGAGAAGGAUGUUGUUGACCCAGCACAUCCCAACCAUGCUCCCAUCGCCGUCAAGUAACAGUACGACGGUUAGAUUGUAUUUUGUCACCGUAGGCUUUAUCGUUUUAUCAAAAUAUCUGAUUGAAAGGUGAUUUAAUGAAAAUUCAAAUUUUUCUGAUGGUGAGAAGGCAAAUAUUUACUCUGCUUAUGACAAGCAUAGAUUGUUUUAAUCUAUGUUUGGUUAUGAUCAUGACUUGUGCCAUGGUUCAAAAUCUUACACUUUUCAAAGAAGGGAUUGAAAUUAUCAUUAUGGCUUGUUUAUGGCUAACAAGGGAGCCAAUGGUCGCUCCAGAACCCAAACAAAAUAAUUUUCAAGCUAAGUUUUGUUCUUAAGAUAAGAAGGAAUAACAAUUUGGGGGAUGGGUUGUUUGUGGCUACCAGAGAAGCCAACAGCUGCCAGAUGAGGACCCUGAAAUUCUUUUCAGGCAAAAGUUAUUUGUAUGCUUAAAAAUCACCGAAUUCAUCAGAUAUUUACUGGUAUAUCCAUCACUUUUGACAUGGGGUCCAUGUGUUCUUGUUUCGCUGACCCCACGAAACAAGAACACAUGUGUCUGAUGGAACUGUAGGCCUUUCAUACUGUUUCUCAAUCUCAUCAGUACCACAGAAUCAACUGACAUGGCCUGGGCUCUGAUGCCCAUGACCUUACAUCACACUGGCUGGUUCAGUUGCUCAAUACAUGUACUAUCAUGCUCGAGACAAAUGACCAACAGUGAAUUGUUGAAUUUGAAUUUCCUCCUUGAAGAAAUACCAAAACAUCUUUCCAGUUGAACUAAAACAGUCAGAUUUAAAACUCUCACUGUUUUAUUCGAAAUUUAAAGACUGAUCCUUCCCUAGUGGUCACACUGUGAGCCGUUGUCAAAGCAUGUCAUUCGACAAUGGUGGCAUGCAUGCAUGUUUUGUUAUGGCUUACCAGGGACCCCAAAUUGUUGAUGAUGAUGUUGUCCAUGGGUACAUCACCUUGGGCAAUGAGUGAUCACAAUGGUUCCUUGAUGACAAUUUUUUACAUGAUACUGAAUUGAUUGAGAAAAGUGUAGCUUAAAAACGUCAACUUUUAGACGUUUUAAAACUUUUGUCCUGUAUGAAUGUAUUUGUAAAUCUUGCAUGAAAUAUUUUGUAAAAUGUCUAAUGAGAUCUAGACUCCAUGACUUGGCAAAAAGUAUGGCAAAGCCAACUUUUAAUCUUUGCCCUGUCGAGGUCACCUCUUUUGUCAUGCAAACGACAUGUCAUAACUGCUCCCUUUGUUAUGCUAAGUGGCAGCCAGCUCUGUCCAGUGGCCAUGACAAAUGUGGUUCCUUUGUUAUUCAAAUCAUCAGCAGUGACCAAAUCUAUUGUAAGCUCACAUGGCUCACCUGAAGGCAUGAACAAUAGGUUUUAAUACAACAGCUAUUCAUGUAUUAUAAACAUGAUGAAUGCAUGGAGAGGUUUAGUGCUAACUCAAACCAUUGUGGUGGAGUACAUGUAGUUGAGUCUAUUGUUUUUUAUCUCAAUUUAGCAUUGUGUUGCAAGGACACUUAUCAGUGUUUCUUUGUGACAUCUUGUGAAGAAGUUGACCACGUCUUAAAGGGAUAGAAAAACUAUCAUAUCUCCCGGUCCUCUUCUUGUAUUGGGCUUUCGGAGUGGUGCAGCCAAAAAAUAAUGUACUACGAUCAUUGUAUGAACUAUAAUAUACAAUGUAUUAAGUCAUUUCAAACAUAAGCACCUGUCACCUGUGUGAUGGAGAUGGCGACUCCCUCCGACUGCGUAGGUUUUCUCCCGGUAUGCGGGUUUCCUCCUACACUACAUUCCAAAUCGUCAUCUGUUUUCUUUGUAAUGUACAGCAAUAAAGUUUUUUUGAAAGAGAAA